UACGGGGGGGGCAAGCGUUGUUCGGAAUUACUGGGCGUAAAGGGCUCGUAGGUGGUCAACUAAGUCAUACGUGAAAUCCCUGGGCUCAACCCAGGAACUGCGUCCGAUACUGAAAGGCUUGAAUCCGGGAGAGGGAUGCGGAAUUCCAGGUGUAGCGGUGAAAUGCGUAGAUAUCUGGAGGAACACCGGUGGCGAAGGCGGCAUCCUGGACCGGUAUUGACGCUGAGGCGCGAAAGCCAGGGGAGCAAACGGG
rnacentral:rRNA from 1 species